CGGGAGGGCGGCUGCACAUAGGGCCGGGCCGGCACCAGCGCUCCGCCUCCUCCUUCUCCCUCUUCUUCCUUCUUCUCCUUUCUCUUCUUCUUCUGUGUUUUGGGUGGCUUUGGGUUCUUUUCCCCGUUUCGGGUGGGUUUUGUCCCCUCCCCUCCCCUCCUGUCCCUCCCCUCCCGUCCCACCACCGCCCGUCCUCAGCGCCCCAACACCCGCAGCUCCUUCGGCUCACGUUUACCCAAUUUCGGCUCAUAUCGCCCACUUUCCCCCAAAUUUCGGCCCACAUUCACCCAUUUUCCCCAAAUUUUGGGCAAUAUCCACCCAUUUUCCCCAAAUUUCGGUCCACAUUCACCCAUUUCCCCCAAAUUUUGGGCCGAAUCCACCCAUUUCCCCCAAAUUUCAGGCCGUAUCCACCCAUUUUACCCAAGUUUCGGUUCAUAACUCCCGUUUUUCCCCAAAUUUCACCCAUUUUCCCCAAAUUUUGGGCCAUAUCCACCCAUUUUCCCCAAAUUUAGGUUCAUAACUCCCGUUUUUUCCCCAAAUUUCACCCAUUUUCCCCAAAUUUCGGGCCAUAUCCACCCAUUUUCCCCAAAUUUCGGUUCAUAACUCCCGUUUUUCCCCAAAUUUCAUCCAUUUUCCCCAAAUUUUGGGCCAUAUCCACCCAUUUUCCCCAAAUUUCGGUUCAUAACUCCCGUUUUUCCCCAAAUUUCACCCAUUUUCCCCAAAUUUUGGGCCAUAUCCACCCAUUUCCCCCAAAUUUUGGUCCAUAUCCAUCCAUUUCCCCCAAAUUUCGGGCCAUAUCCAUCCAUUUCCCCCAAAUUUUGAUUCCUAACUCUCCUUUUUCCCCGUAUUUCACCCAUUUUCUUCUUCUCCUUUCUCUUCUUCUUCUGUUUUUUGGGUGGCUUUGGGUUCUUUUCCCCGUUUCGGGUGGGUUUUGUCCCCUCCCCUCCCCUCCUAUCCCGUCCCCUCCCGUCCCACCCGCCGCCCGUCCUCAGCGCCCCAACACCCGCAGCUCCUUCGGCUCACAUUUACCCAAUUUCGGCUCAUAUCGCCCACUUUUCCCCAAAUUUCGGCCCACAUUUACCCAUUUUCUCCAAAUUUCGGUCCAUAUCCACACAUUUUCCCCAAAUUUCGGGCCAUAUCCACCCAUUUUCCCCAAAUUUCGGUCCACAUUCACCCAUUUUCCCCAAGUUUCGGUUAAUAACUCCCGUUUUUCCCCAAAUUUCACCCAUUUUCCCCAAAUUUUGGGCCAUAUCCACCCAUUUUCCCCAAAUUUCGGGCCACAUUUACCCAUUUCCCCCAAAUUUCAGGCCGUAUCCACCCAUUUUACCCAAGUUUCGGUUCAUAACUCCCGUUUUUCCCCAAAUUUCACCCAUUUUCCCCCAAAUUUUGGGCCAUAUCCACCCAUUUUCCCCAAAUUUAGGUUCAUAACUCCCGUUUUUCCCCAAAUUUCAUCCAUUUUCCCCAAAUUUUGGGCCAUAUCCACCCAUUUCCCCCAAAUUUUGAUUCCUAACUCUCCUUUUUCCCCGUAUUUCACCCAUUUUCUUCUUCUCCUUUCUCUUCUUCUUCUGUUUUUUGGGUGGCUUUGGGUUCUUUUCCCCGUUUCG
rnacentral:lncRNA from 7 species